UACGUAGGGUGCAAGCGUUGUCCGGAAUUAUUGGGCGUAAAGAGCUCGUAGGCGGUCUGUCGCGUCUGGUGUGAAAACUCAAGGCUUAACCUUGGGCCUGCAUCGGGUACGGGCAGACUAGAGUGCGGUAGGGGAGACUGGAAUUCCUGGUGUAGCGGUGAAAUGCGCAGAUAUCAGGAGGAACACCGAUGGCGAAGGCAGGUCUCUGGGCCACUACUGACGCUGAGAAGCGAAAGCAUGGGGAGCGAACAGG
rnacentral:rRNA from 1 species